GCCGGGCGUAGUGAUGUGCGCCAGUAAUCCCAGCUACUCAGGAGGCUGAGGCACAAGAAUCACUUGAGCCCAGGAGGUGGAGGUUGCAGUGAGCCGAGAUCGCACCACUGUACUUCAUCCUGGGCAACAGAGUGAGACUCUGUCUCAA
rnacentral:SRP_RNA from 1 species